ensembl:lncRNA
AGUGUGUGUGUGUGUGUGUGUGUGAAGAAAGAGUUGGAAAGGAGAGCAGGAUAUAAUGUUCAUGACAACUUCAGAUGUUUUUUCAAACGGGCAUCGUGACAACAGCCUGCCACAGAGUUUGGGUCAUCAGUGUAGUCGUUAAGCAGGCCGUAAUGGGCCGUGCGAGGCUGUUCUGCUCUGGCGCCGGGCCGGCUGACCUGUGGAUCACACCAACAUUAUCGGCCGACGGAUCGCACCAUUAUGCCCUUGAUGGAGGGGAACUGUGGAUGUGUCUGGAGGAGAUCGAAAAUGCGUUCCCAGUGUGCUGCCAAUCUGCAGACACGCCACAGGCAGAAGCACUAAAGGUCACAGCUGUCUGCGAUGCAGCAGAGACUAUCGAACGUGAGGGAAGAGAACCAAACAACGAUGAUUUGUCAUUCCGGGUGACUUCCUUACAAAAUGCAAUGCUUCUGUUGUCUAGAUGACUAAUAAGGCAGUUUUAAAAUAAAAAUAGAAACUCCAAUGAUACAACAUUGUCUUGUGAAAUGAAAUAAAUAAUCAACCCUGACCUGCGGCGUUGUUGUAUUCCAGCAUUCUAUGUCUGCCAAUUAUUCAUUUACUCUAUCCACAUGAAAAGGUUUUUCAUGUUUUAGAUUAAUCAAAAUGAAUGCAGAAAACUUUCUUC